UACGGAGGGUGCAAACGUUGCUCGGAAUCAUUGGGCGUAAAGCGCACGUAGGCGGACCGCUAAGUCGGGUGUGAAAGCCCUGGGCUCAACCCAGGAAGUGCACUCGAAACUGCCAGGCUUGAAUAUGGAAGAGGGUCGCGGAAUUCCCGGUGUAGAGGUGAAAUUCGUAGAUAUCGGGAGGAACACCAGUGGCGAAGGCGGCGACCUGGGCCAAUAUUGACGCUGAGGUGCGAAAGCGUGGGGAGCAAACAGG
rnacentral:rRNA from 1 species